AGUGAACGCUGGCGGUAGGCCUAACACAUGCAAGUCGAACGGCAGCACAGUAAGAGCUUGCCCUUACGGGUGGCGAGUGGCGGACGGGUGAGGAAUACAUCGGAAUCUACUUUUUCGUGGGGGAUAACGUAGGGAAACUUACGCUAAUACCGCAUACGACCUACGGGUGAAAGCAGUGGAUCUUCGGACCUUGCGCGAUUGAAUGAGCCGAUGUCGGAUUAGCUAGUUGGCGGGGUAAAGGCCCACCAAGGCGACGAUCCGUAGCUGGUCUGAGAGGAUGAUCAGCCACACUGGAACUGAGACACGGUCCAGACUCCUACGGGAGGCAGCAGUAGGGAAUAUUGGGCAAUGGGCGAAAGCCUGACCCAGCCAUACCGCGUGAGUGAAGAAGGCCUUCGGGUUGUAAAGCCCUUUUGUUGGGAAAGAAAAGCAGUAGGUUAAUACCCCGCUGUUCUGACGGUACCCAAAGAAUAAGCACCGGCUAACUUCGUG
rnacentral:rRNA from 1 species